rnacentral:rRNA from 1 species
GACGAACGCUGGCGGCGUGCCUAAUACAUGCAAGUAGAACGCUGAAGGAGGAGCUUGCUUCUCUGGAUGAGUUGCGAACGGGUGAGUAACGCGUAGGUAACCUGCCUGGUAGCGGGGGAUAACUAUUGGAAACGAUAGCUAAUACCGCAUAAUAGUAGAUGUUGCAUGACAUUUGCUUAAAAGGUGCAAUUGCAUCACUACCAGAUGGACCUGCGUUGUAUUAGCUAGUUGGUGGGGUAACGGCUCACCAAGGCGACGAUACAUAGCCGACCUGAGAGGGUGAUCGGCCACACUGGGACUGAGACACGGCCCAGACUCCUACGGGAGGCAGCAGUAGGGGAUCUUCGGCAAUGGACGGAAGUCUGACCGAGCAACGCCGCGUGAGGGAAGAAGGGUUUCGGAUCGUAAAGCUCUGUUGUAAGAGAAGAACGAGUGUGAGAGUGGAAAGUUCACACUGUGACGGUAUCUUACCAGAAAGGGACGGCUAACUACGUG